ensembl:lncRNA
GAAGUAUUCUUGAAAGACCCCUUCUUAGCCCAAUAGCCCUUUGUACCAAGAUGCAGAAACUGAAGCUCAGAGAAGUCCAGCAACUUGCACAAGACUGGGCACAGCUGAUGAGAGUGAAGGGGGGAUGAACUGAUUGUGCCAAAGAUGCGGUGUAUUCAGGGAAAAAAAUGUUCAUGUGAUCCAGAGAGCUGGUUUCCCUCCUGAAUUCAAUAUUCUCAUUAUCGUCUUUUACAUUGGAGCAUCAUAUUAAAAGAAAUGGGACUUCCACUCUCAAGCAAGAGGGAGUAACGUGAACCAGAUUUACACUCCUACAUGAAACCAUCAAAAUACAGGUGAUUAUGGAGGCUGAGAAGACCCACAAACUGCUUUCUACAAGCUGGAGACUCAGAAAAGCUGGUUGUGUAAUUCAGUCCAAGUCUGAAGGCCUGAGAACGAGGAGCUCCAAUGCCCGAUGUCCAAGGGCAGGAGAAGAUCAAUGUCCCUACUCAAACAGAGAGCAAAGUCACCCUUCCUCUGUUUUUUGUUCUUCUCAGGCCCUCAGUGGACUGGAUGAUGCCCACCCGCAUUGGCGAGAGCGAUCUUCUUUAUAAGUCUACCGAUUCGAAUGCUAUUCUCUUUCAGAAACACGCUCACAGACACACCCAGAAAUGUUAUUUUACCAGCUAUCCGGGCAUCCCUAGCUAUGUCAAGUUGACACAUAAAAUUAACCAUCACAGAUGGUUUCAUGAGUGUAUAAUACAUUAAAUGUAUGAAAUUGCACACUUUAAAUAUAUAGUUUAUUGUAUGUCAUUUAUAUCCCAUUACAUCUGAUAAAAGUCAUACAGUGAAAAAUCUAGAUGUGAGAUAUUAAGUAAAAAACAUAAACGGGAUACCAGUUGCCAUCUUUAUGUGGAUGACCAAUGUAUUAGUCAUUCAUGUAUAUAUUCCAUGUAUGUAUAUAUACAAUCUAUAUAGUCAAUGUAUAUAUGUUUAGCAAUGCAAAACAUUCAAACACAAAGCAAAACAAAAUAUCCAUUUCAGGGUUUUUCCCCCUGUUUUCAG